rnacentral:rRNA from 1 species
UACGUAGGGUGCAAGCGUUGUCCGGAAUUAUUGGGCGUAAAAGAGCUCGUAGGCGGUCUGUCGCGUCUGCUGUGAAAAACUCGGGGCUUAACCCCGGGCCUGCAGUGGGUACGGGCAGACUAGAGUGCGGUAGGGGGAGACUGGAAUUCCUGGUGUAGCGGUGAAAUGCGCAGAUAUCAGGAGGAACACCGGUGGCGAAGGCGGGUCUCUGGGCCAUACUGACGUGAGGAGCGAAAAGCAUGGGUAGCGAAACGG